rnacentral:rRNA from 1 species
ACUUAUGGCCACACCACCCUGAGCACACCCGAUCUAGUCUGAUCUUGGAAGCUAAACCGGGUCGAGCCUGGUUGGUACUGUCAGGGUCCGGUAGUGUAAAUU